CGCGGCUGGCGGCGCGGGGCGCGGGGCGCUGGGCGCAGUGCGGACGCGGAGCGGGGCGCUGCAGGGUGUGUGGUGAGCUCAGAUCUGAGCAUUGACUGAGCAUGGGGGUGGCUCUGACAAGGUCUGCACAGUGGACUGCUGCUGGAUAUGGGACCAGAACCCUGGAAAUUACUCCACUGAAUGAAGUGAUAUUGAAAGAAAUUGCGAUGUUUGUGGAGAGUUUUAUCUACAAACAUCCUCAAGAAGCAAAAUAUGUUUUUGUAGAACCACUUGAAUGGAAAACAAACUUGGACCCCUCAGCAUUUGAAUCAGGAUAUAUUGUCAGUGAAACAACAGUCAAGUCAGAAGAAGUUGAUAAGAUGGGCAGCC